UCUCCGUAGGUGAACCUGCGGAGGGAUCAUUACCGAGUGAGGGCCUCCAGGCCCGACCUCCAACCCUUUGUGAACCACAACCUGUUGCUUCGGGGGCGACCCUGCCUUCCGGCGCGGCGCCCCCGGAGGUCUUCUAAACACUGCAUCUUUGCGUCGGAGUUUAAAACAAAUUAAACAAAACUUUCAACAACGGAUCUCUUGGUUCUGGCAUCGAUGAAGAACGCAGC
rnacentral:misc_RNA from 1 species